UACGUAGGGAGCAAGCGUUGUCCGGAAUCAUUGGGCGUAAAGCGCGCGUAGGCGGCCCCGUAAGUCCGCUGUGAAAGUCAAAGGCUCAACCUUUGAAAGCCGGUGGAUACUGUGGGGCUAGAGUCCGGAAGAGGCGAGUGGAAUUCCUGGUGUAGCGGUGGAAUGCGCAGAUAUCAGGAGGAACACCAAUAGCGAAGGCAGCUCGCUGGGACGGUACUGACGCUAAGGCGCGAAAGCGUGGGAGCGAACAGG
rnacentral:rRNA from 1 species